rnacentral:rRNA from 1 species
CAGCAGCCGCGGUAAUACAUAGGGUGCGAGCGUUAAUCGGAUUUACUGGGCGUAAAGCGUGCGUAGGCGGCUUUUUAAGUCGGAUGUGAAAUCCCUGAGCUUAACUUAGGAAUUGCAUUCGAUACUGGGAAGCUAGAGUAUGGGAGAGGAUGGUAGAAUUCCAGGUGUAGCGGUGAAAUGCGUAGAGAUCUGGAGGAAUACCGAUGGCGAAGGCAGCCAUCUGGCCUAAUACUGACGCUGAGGUACGAAAGCAUGGGGAGCAAACAGGAUUAGAUACCCCUGUAGUCCCUGUCUCUUAUAC